rnacentral:lncRNA from 1 species
UGGGCGGAUCACAAGGUCAGGAGCUCGAGACCAGCCUGACCAACAUGGUGAAACCCCGUCUCUACUAAAAAUACAAAAUUAGUUGGGCAUGGUGGCACAUGCCUGUAAUCCCAGCUACUAGGGAGGCUGAGGCAGGAGAAUUGCUUGAACCACCAAUAGGAAAUGUGUAGAUAUAGAGAAAGAGAUUUAUUAUGGGGGAUUGGCUCACACAAUUAUGAAGACUGAGAAGUUCCACAAUCUGCCAUCUGCAAGCUGAAGACCCAGGAAAACUGGUAGUGUAGUUCCAGUCCAACGAAGCCCAGAGGCCUGAGAACCAGGGAAACCAACGGCAUAGGUCCCAGUCUGAAUCCUAAGUCCCCCAAACCAGGAGUGCUGAUGCCUGAGGGCAAGAGAAGAUGAUGUUCCAGCUCAAGCAGACAGCAAAUUCACGCUUCCUAAAUCUUUUUCUUCUAUUUGAGCUCU